UAGGGAAUCUUCCACAAUGGACGCAAGUCUGAUGGAGCAACGCCGCGUGAGUGAAGAAGGUUUUCGGACCGUAAAGCUCUGUUGUUGGUGAAGAAGGAUAGAGGUAGUAACUGGCCUUUAUUUGACGGUAAUCAACCAGAAAGUCACGGCUAACUACGUGCCAGCAGCCGCGGUAGUACGUAGGUGGCAAGCGUUGUCCGGAUUUAUUGGGCGUAAAGCGAGCGCAGGCGGAAGAAUAAGUCUGAUGUGAAAGCCCUCGGCUUAACCGAGGAAUUGCAUCGGAAACUGUUUUUCUUGAGUGCAGAAGAGGAGAGUAGAACUCCAUGUGUAGCGGUGGAAUGCGUAGAUAUAUGGAAGAAUACCAGUGGCGAAGGCGGCUCUCUGGUCUGCAACUGACGCUGAGGCUCGAAAGCAUGGGUAGCGAACAGGAUUAGAUACCCUGGUAGUCCAUGCCGUAAACGAUGAGUGCUAAGUGUUGGGAGGCUUCCGCCUCUCAGUGCUGCAGCUAACGCAUUAAGCACUCCGCCUGGGGGAGUACGACCGCAAGGUUG
rnacentral:rRNA from 1 species